ACCUGAGACAUUACCUGGUUAAAAUCUGGUUAUAACCUGGUUAUAUUCUGAGACAUUACCUGGUUAUAACCUGGUUAUAACCUGGUAAUAACCAGGUUAUAACC
rnacentral:miRNA from 1 species